UACGUAGGGUGCAAGCGUUAAUCGGAAUUACUGGGCGUAAAGCGUGCGCAGGCGGUUUUGUAAGUCUGUCGUGAAAUCCCCGGGCUUAACCUGGGAAUUGCGAUGGAGACUGCAAGGCUAGAAUCUGGCAGAGGGGGGUAGAAUUCCACGUGUAGCAGUGAAAUGCGUAGAGAUGUGGAGGAAUACCGAUGGCGAAGGCAGCCCCCUGGGCCAAUACUGACGCUCAUGCACGAAAAGCGUGGGGAGCAAACAGG
rnacentral:rRNA from 1 species